CGCUAUAAAUAGCCUUUUGUACGUAGUUAAUGAUCCACCAAAUGGUCAAACAGUUAUAAACACUUAUGCAGCGUUCAUUUUAUCCUCAUUUAAGCACAAUAUGAGGUUUUUCUGGCUGUUCCUUGCAACUUUUUGUUUAGCAAAAGCUUCCCUUUUCUCGCAAUAUGUUAAACUGUACGAAGAUAAAAAACCGCCAAAUAUUUUUUUAGAGUUUAUUGGAAAAGGAGGUGAGGCCCUCAUUGAGGUCAAAACGCCAGGAUUUAGACCACUUUUCCAUAGAAUUGUGAAAAAGUAUGAAGCCGACACAAAACGAAUCAGCUUCGUUUCGACGUUCAACUCGGACAAUGGCAUUGAAUAAAACUUUUUUCGUUGAAUAAUUUUUUGGUGUUCAGUCAAGGCUAUCCUUUGAUAUAAUUAAUAAUUAUUUAAUAAACUGACUUGUUAA